rnacentral:rRNA from 1 species
UACGUAGGGGGCUAGCGUUGUCCGGAAUCAUUGGGCGUAAAGAGCGUGUAGGCGGCCCGGUAAGUCCGCUGUGAAAGUCGGGGGCUCAACCCUCGAAUGCCGGUGGAUACUGUCGGGCUAGAGUGCGGAAGAGGCGAGUGGAAUUCCUGGUGUAGCGGUGAAAUGCGCAGAUAUCAGGAGGAACACCGAUUGCGAAGGCAGCUCUCUGGGACGUUACUGACGCUGAGACGCGAAAGCGUGGGGAGCAAACAGG